UUUUUGCAAUCAAAGCAGUAAUGAAAACAAAAACAACAUUAUUUGACUGACUAUGCAUUUUAUUGACUGAAAAAAAAAAAGGUGGCUCAUGACUGAGCAAAACACCGGAAGCAAUCCCUGAAAAGAGGUAAUUGCGUAUAAAAGGAAAAAUCUAUCCUAAUGGCAAUGUGAAACCGUGAUCUCAUCGAGUUCCAACUCGGUUACACCCCAUAUAUCUU
rnacentral:lncRNA from 1 species